ensembl:lncRNA
AAGGCCUAUCCAGUGUACUGACAGAGCCUUUGCUGCAUGUUUCUGCUUCGUGACAAAGAACAUCAGCAUUGUAUUCUGGUAAAAAAAAAAAAAGAUACCUGGAGAAUACUUGCAGGCUCUGAUCACUUCAGUUUUAGACUAAUAAUUUUUGUCACUAAAUUUCAUGUCAUCCCUCUAUUUAUUUUCUGAACGUUACUGGUGAAGUCUGAGCCCCAGAGGAAGCACUACUACUUCUGUGUGAGGCACUGGCAGGAGCCCGGAUACCUCUGUGAUACUGCAGAGCAGACACUUCCGAGGAGGGGACAGAAGCUGGGUGGCAGGGCGGUUUAGUCCCUGGCUACCCAGCCCUUAUUUCAGUCUCACACGGCAGAGCAGGGCAAGGCAUGACAGCCAUGGGAAAUUCUCUGAAGUUGAGCUGUUAGCAAGGCCGGUGCUCUGCAUAUCACCUCUAAAAUCAAGUGUGCCUGGAUAAAAGAACUCGCGGCUUCUGUAGUCAAAUAUUGAGUUCCCUGGGAGAUCUAUGUGAGCAGAGUGAGCCUCCCGCUCCUUCCUCUAAGUCAAUAGUAGCAAUGCAUUAUCAGAUUGCCUAUUUUCCCAGAUACAUUAAAUCUAGUUUGACAAAGGUGAAAAUGUUAGCUGUUUGCAGCCUGACAGAGUUGGCAAAAUUCAAGACCCUUCAAAAGUAUCAGCUUUGAUUUAAAAUUGUGUCAUGCUUCAGGAGAGCGGCUGUGUGUUCACCUAACCUGGUGGGCUCUGCAGUGGCAGCUUCAUUGCAUCCUGCAGGCAGUCUGAGCUCCACAAAGGGCAGUGCAGGCUCCCCGUCUUGCUGAGACACUCAUGUAUGAAACAUGGCUCUACCAACAAGAUCUUUAGAUUUUCAGAGGAUUUCAGCACAAGGCACAUCCUGCCCUAAUCCAUCUUACAUGGGUGGGCUGAAUUGCCCUUUGGGAGGUGUCAACUUCCCCACCCUUGGUAACCAACAGGAAACAUGCAUCUACUGCAAGAUGCACUCUGACAUGUCAGCAAAAGGUUGUUCCCGCCAAUUCCACCUAAAGGCCGCCAAGGCAGAGCCUGCUGGACACAUAAAGUACAGAUACACCAAGGAGAGAGCAGUCAGUAUCAGUAUGCCUUAAACCCAAACAUAAACAUAGCAAAAUAGUCUAACCCAGGCUAUGCGCAUGCAGUUUGUACCAUAUCACCACUGCCAGUAACAGCCAGCAACGUGGUAAGACUUUGCAACGCAGCUGAGCAGGAGUGUCUAAACUAUAUGGGACUGCAAAAGAGAAGACUGGAGACUUGGAUUAUAAAAAUAACAAACUACUUCUGGGAGAAGCUUACUAUUGUUCAUGUUGCUGAGGUGACUCAUGAUCCUUCAAGGUACUUCACACUAACCACCAGUAGAUGAGAAGCUUCAGCACACUGCACACAGAAUCAUCUCCAAGACAGUAGUAGCAGCAGGAUUUGUCUCAUCUGGCCGCCACUGAAUCGGACACUCAUCGUACAGGAGAAUAAAGCUGGGACUGACUCCAAAAGACCUUCCAAUUCCCCCUGUGUUUUAGUCCAAGAGGACUCUAUUACCAUUAGUGUGGGAGGAAUGAGACCUUGUAUUGAAUGAGCUCAAGGACCUCUGCGGAAUGAGGCAGAUACUGAGCUCUGAAGAAGUGCAGCGUGGGGAUUGAUUCCAGACACCUUUGUGCACCCCACAAACAGCAUCUUGGAUUUGCCCACCAGUUUUAAGAUAUUGACCACUGCCAUCAGACAGCUGUCUGUCACUGCUCAGCUGAUUCCAGCCUGCAGCUCUUGCUCACUGCAGCCUUGCCCCACAUGAAUACAUAAAAUAUUGCUUCUGGCAGCAAGCUGGAGACACCUAUCCGUCUGCACUGAGGAAAGUGGAGAGGGUAAACCAUGCAAUGGGGUCAGGAAACUAUAAACUGCAACUGCUACAGAUGCUCUCCUUCCACUGAAUAAGACUGCAUGUAUCACCCUGACCAUGGCAGCACCUGCAAUGUGGCUGGUUCACAACAUAUUCCUAAUGGAGACACCUGCUCAUUGAACAAAAAUGGUUCAUUCCAAAACAGCAGCAUUUUGGUGCUGCUGUCCCACUCUGAUGCUUCAUCAGAGUAAAAGCUGGAGCACCCGUGUUCUCUGUGGGGUGGGCUUCCUCGGGGAGCUGUCACUUCACAUCUGAGACUAAAAACCCUCCAUGUAUUUAAGCAAGGAAGUGGGGAGGGUAUGUGUGCAUUUCAAAUAGACACAGUCAUUCGUUGAGACUACGACGGAAGAAUAGCUGUGGUCAGAGAAUGGACAGGGAGCCUGUGGGACACAAACGCCACUGGCAAAAGAAAAACUAGCAGAGAAAGGGAUCCGCAGCCCGAGAGGCAUCAGCACAGCAUGCUGACCUGCACACAUCCUCUGCCCACUGCAAACAGGCAGCUCGCUGCCAGCACGUGGCCACAAUAGUGCUCCAGAAGCAGCAGCUACUCACUGCCACGGCUUCCUGCCUAUUACAGUAACAUUAUUAAUCAUUUCAGGACUUCAUAAUGUUUUGACGGACAGAUAGCGUGAGGUUGGAUCUAAUAACAUCUGUUGCUACUAUUCAAGUUUUGCAUUAUUAAAUCAGAUCAAAACUGGCAGAAUCUCACCUUUAGCAGAUCUGAUAUUCCUGGGGACAGCCAAAACUUUUUAAAAGGAGCUAAUGGUUAUUCACCCUUUGAAAAUAAAUACCCAACUCCACUUGGAGGUCACUAGAGAGGACAGCGACGUUUUCCUUUGUAAAAUCAAUGUAAUUACUGAAAAUCCUACAACAGCAAAAAAAAAGAACAAGCGAACCAAGUCUCCACCGUGAGGAUAAGGGGCCAACCCCUGUGCUGGCGUAAAGAGACUUCGGUCUGAGGAGUUCAGAAGCAGAGCUGUGCUCAAGAGAGGACUUGAUUUUGUCUAUUCAUAUUGAUUUGCAUCAUCUGAAGAUCUGCCCCUAUAUCCCUAUAAGAUUAGGAAUGCAUAGUGCUGUGAAGUGAACUGUAUAAUUCAAUAUUUUAUCUUUCCUUCAGGCAGGCAGGCAGGAAGUAUGCUCCAAGGUAAGAACUAAUCAGUAGAGUUGAGAGAAUAAUUUACAGUGGAAUAAUUUACUCAAUGAAUUUAGCUUCUUAUCUGCUCAGAGACUUUGCAGCUCUGGAAAGCAGAAGACAUAAUUGUGGGGUGUCUAUUGCUCGCAGUAUCUCAGGCCAAUGGCUGCACGUCGGGCUGGGCUGUGUAGGGCUGAUUAAUGCUAGGGCCUUUCCUCCCUGACAGGGACUGUAAUUUCCUAACUAGAAGGAACUGAAGAAACCCGAAGCACCUACACCUCUCCUGUGCAGGCUUGGAUCAGCCUUACUUUAGCCUUAGUUUCUCACUGCAGAAAGUCACGUUGGCAGCAGUGCUUCACAGAAUCAUAGAAUCACAGAUUCAUUACAGUUGGAAAAUGAUCUCUAAGAUCAUCCAGUCCGAACCCUAACCCAUUCCCACCAUGCCUACUAACCUGUCCUUCUGUACAUCUCCACAGUUCUUUAAAACCUCCAGGGACAGUGAUUCCACCAUCUCUGUGGGUCUGUUGGCAAACAGAGGAGAACAGCAAAGAUGCUGACAGGCAGCAGAUGAGCAGGUGAUCAAAGGGUCUUCCCAGUACAAGCUGCACACUGGAGCGUGUGUGUAAGAAAUGAAAUACAUUUUUUUCCAGUCUUUCUAUGACUCAUAUGGAUAGCAAAAUGAGAAAAAAAGUACAUGUGUCUUAUCACACUGCAAGGAUUAUCUGUCCCCUCUGAGACCACCUCCGCCUGUCACGUACACAUUUUUACAAGAAUUAAAACUAUUACAGCCAUAUAGCACAGAUACUGUUUUGUAGCUUCCUAAGAGCCAUCACAUGCAGGAAACAAGCACCAAACCCAACACACACUGAGUGCAUCAGCAUUAGCCUCACUGGGAAGAAGCAGCAUUCAUUUCUAGUGGGGCAGCCAGCACAGAAACCCCACAAACCACCGGGAAAUGCUGAUGUCUGCGCCAGAGAACGUGACUCCCAGGAAAAGGGGCACACACUGGCACCUGGCCCCGACAGGGCUGCCAGGAAGGAAGCCUCAGCUUUCCCCUGUCUAGACGUACCAUCACCACGUGAGCCAUCUCCUGCCGUCAUCCCCUGGGGGCUUCCAGCAGACAUGCCGGGAAGCGGCUUUCCCCGAUAACACUCUUUGGAGGACGCAGUUUCAGCAACUCCUUGCACAACAGCAAAAACCCAAAAAGAUUUAAAUCAGUUAGGCAGAGCCCCAGGGGAGUGUGGGGUAGAAGCCAGCUGGUUAUACGGGCGAAGGCAAAGGCAGAGGUACAAGGAGCUGGGAUCAAAGCAGAGCGAGGCCAACUGGGUGACCACCAGUUUGCAGGGCUCCUGCACCCAAGGGCUCGCUAUCGUAUCCCCUCUUCUGCAGGGGAAGACUGACUUAGAUUCAAACACAGCAAAUUUAGAAUCAAACGUAGCUCUGUUCCUUCUGCCCUGCCUUUGGCAUCUGACGUUAUAUCUGUGUAUUUGAUGCUGUUUCUUUUGACUCAGAAUACUAGGUUUCCUCCUCAGGAACUGGGGCCGACAGACCUAUUUAAUCUUUCAUAUUGGCCACAGUGAUAACUUCUUAUUAAAUAUUUCAUGUUGUUGUACCGAUAAAGAGCAUAAGACAAAACUUGGCAUGAGUACUAUCCAGAAGAGCAUCUGCUUAAAAAUAAAACACUUGGAAGAAUCGGGAAGGAAGUAAGUAGCCAUGUGGUUGGAAAAAAUGAUUCAAUGUAAGCAGGUCAAGCCUAUAAUGAAGUGCUUAUAAACAACAAUAAAAACAUCUGAAC